UGCCCAGCAACUCCUAUCCCUACCUCCACGCGGUACCGGCCGGAAACUAUGAGCAACCUUAGGGAAGAUCGGGUAACCAACCCCGGUGGGAACUUUGGUCGUAGGCUGACGGGGAAGG
rnacentral:ribozyme from 1 species